GACGAGGUGGCCGAGUGGUUAAGACGAUGAACUACUAAUCUGUUGUGCUCUGCACGCGUGGAUUCAAAUCCCAUCUUUGUCA